UUUUUGAUAGCUUAAUUGUAAGAGUGUGGCCCUGAAGAGGCUAAGGUGAAAAUAUUCUCAAGCAA
rnacentral:tRNA from 1 species